CUUGGUGAUUCUAGCGACGGGGACACACCCGGAUCCAUCCCGAACCCGGCAGUUAAGCCCGUCAGCGCUGAUGGUACUUGAGGGGCGACCCUCUGGGAGAGUAAGCCAUUGCCAGGA
rnacentral:rRNA from 1 species